rnacentral:miRNA from 1 species
ACCUCACUAUCUAUGUUUUUGUUCAGGUUUAUGCAAAAAUGUGCUCUUUCAUCGUCACGUGCGUAUUAUAUUGGGAAAAAUACAAUACGCACGUGACGAUGAAAGACCACAGUUUUGCAUAAACCUGAACAACAUAGAUAAUGAGGU